UGGGAAAUUUUGGACAAUGGGGGAAACCCUGAUCCAGCCAUCCCGCGUGUGCGAUGAAGGCCUUCGGGUUGUAAAGCACUUUUGGCAGGAAAGAAACGUCAUGGGUUAAUACCCCGUGAAACUGACGGUACCUGCAGAAUAAGCACCGGCUAACUACGUGCCAGCAGCCGCGGUAAUACGUAGGGUGCAAGCGUUAAUCGGAAUUACUGGGCGUAAAGCGUGCGCAGGCGGUUCGGAAAGAAAGAUGUUAAAUCCCAUAGCUCAACUUUGGAACUGCAUUUUGAACAACCGUGCUAGAGUGUGUCAGAGGGAGGUGGAAUUCAGAGUGUAGCAGUGAAAUGCGUAGAUAUGCGGAGGAACACCGAUGGCGAAGUCAGCCUCCUGGGAUAACACUGACGCUCAUGCACGAAAGCGUGGGGAGCAAACAGG
rnacentral:rRNA from 1 species